rnacentral:rRNA from 1 species
AGGGUUUGAUUCUGGCUCAGGAUGAACGCUGGCGGCGUGCUUAACACAUGCAAGUCGAACGAACCUUCGGGUUAGUGGCGGACGGGUGAGUAACGCGUGAGAAUCUGCCCUCAGGAGGGGGAUAACGGUUGGAAACGACCGCUAAUACCCCAUAUGCCUACUGGUGAAAUGAAUUUCGCCUGAGGAUGAGCUCGCGUCUGAUUAGCUAGUUGGUGAGGUAAUGGCUCACCAAGGCUUCGAUCAGUAGCUGGUCUGAGAGGAUGAUCAGCCACACUGGGACUGAGACACGGCCCAGACUCCUACGGGAGGCAGCAGUGGGGAAUUUUCCGCAAUGGGCGAAAGCCUGACGGAGCAACGCCGCGUGAGGGACGAAGGCCUCUGGGCUGUAAACCUCUUUUCUCAAGGAAGAAGAUAUGACGGUACUUGAGGAAUAAGCCACGGCUAAUUCCGUGCCAGCAGCCGCGGUAAUAC